AAUGUGUAAGUCUGUGUUUUCAUUUGGUGCCAGCCUGUGCUGGGGGUACAGGCCCACACUGUGGAUAAAGGCCUGGCCCCAGGCUCCACUCGGGACGACCCUGAAGGGGGGUGCCAGCUCCAGAGCUUCCCCGGGGACCAGCGGUUAGGGCAUCACUGCCCGACGACUCCCUCUACCCCACUGGCCUUCCUUCUCUCCCUUC
rnacentral:lncRNA from 1 species